rnacentral:lncRNA from 1 species
GCACAACUGCACUUCACACAGCAAGUGUUUUCGCACACAGUCCUGUCUGAAACACUCGCGAUGUCGCUGUACCCGUCUCAGAUGAAAGCUUUCAAAAGCGCCGAGCCCAAAACCCUCGGGGCAGUGGAAAUGAUAAUUGGCACGCUGACAGUCAUUCUGAGCACUAUCGUCUAUAAACUGCACUACCAUAUCCAGCGGGAGAUCAUCAUCCUCAUCAUAAAUGGUGCUCAGCUCCUUAUUACUGGAAUUGUGUUGGUGCAUGCUGGCAGGAAACCUACUAAAUGCCUGGUGGGUACAAACAUUGUUUUGCAGCUCCUGACCGCAGCGUUUGAUAUUGUUGGAUUUGGUCUCAUGGCCAGGCAUAUUCCUUUCCGUGGGGAGUCUUAUUAUUACAGAGACACUGAGUGGUGUUGUGACCCACUCCAUUCAGUUUGGGCUUGCUGUGGAGAAGGAGAGAGAGGGGGCCACAAAGAGUUUUUGGUGAAUGGGAUUUUGUGCACUCUGAUUGGUUGCUUGGUGCUGGCAUGUAUUAUUGGUCUGGUCGUGGCACUUUUUGGUGUGUACGCCCUGUCUGUCAGUGCUAUUAAGGACAUGACACCAAUUCCGAACGCCACAGGAAAUCCACAGUUCAGUGCUGGAGGACACACCAGGUGCUGUCCGUGGUUGGCUCCUUGGAUUCUGGAACGUUACAGCGGGAGAUUGCUGACAGGUCAGGAAUUUCUCUGAGUCACAUACGUCUGCGACGUCGAUU